rnacentral:rRNA from 1 species
UGGAUUCCGUAGUAAUCGUGUUUCAAUAUAGCACGGGGAAUAUGCCCCUGCUCCUUGCACACACCUCCCGUCAAAACAUCUUAGUUGGUGGUGGGUGUGGCUGCGCUUAAUUCGGUAUGGCGUAUUCGAGCCUGCCUUCGACAAGGAGGGUUAAGUCGUAACAAGGUAUCUGUAGGGGAACCUGCAGAUGGAUCACCUCCU